CGAACGGUAACCUGUGGUUUCAAUUCUUCGGAAGAGAUCUGCAGGCUAGAGUGGCGAACGGGUGAGUAACGCGUGGGCAAUUUGCCCUUAAGUCGGGGAUAGCCCUUCGAAAGGAGGGGUAAUACCGGAUGUGGUCGUCCUGCGCAUGUAGGACUAUCCAAAGGUGGGGAUCUUCGGACCUGCCGCUUGAGGAUGAGCCCGCGUACCAUCAGCUUGUUGGUAGGGUAACGGCCUACCAAGGCAACGACGGUUAGCUGGUCUGAGAGGAUGGUCAGCCACACUGGGACUGAGACACUGCCCAGACUCCUACGGGAGGCUGCAGUCGAGAAUCAUUCGCAAUGCGCGAAAGCGUGACGAUGCGACGCCGCGUGGAGGAUGAAGGCCUUCGGGUUGUAAACUCCUGUCGUGAGGGAACAAUGGCCCCGGUGUUAAUAGCGCCGGGGUGUGAUGGUACCUCAAGAGGAAGCCACGGCUAACUCUGUGCCAGCAGCCGCGGUAAUACAGAGGUGGCGAGCGUUGUUCGGAUUUACUGGGCGUAAAGGGUGCGUAGGCGGUUUCGUGUGUCGAGUGUGAAAUCUCACCGUUCAUCGGUGAAACUGCAUUCGAAACUACGGGACUAGAGUACAGGAGAGGAGAGCGGAAUUCUCGGUGUAGCGGUGAAAUGCGUAGAUAUCGAGAAGAACGCCGGUGGCGAAAGCGGCUCUCUGGACUGAUACUGACGCUGAGGCACGAAAGCUUGGGGAGCAAACGGGAUUAGAUACCCCGGUAGUCCACGCCCUAAACGAUGAACACUAGUCGUCGCUCUGCUAGUCAGGGCGGUGAUGCACUUAACAGAUUAAGUGUUCCGCCUGGGGAGUACGGUCGCAAGAUUAAAACUCAAAGGAAUAGACGGGGACCCGCACAAGUGGUGGAGCAUGUGGUUUAAUUCGAAAAUACGCGAAGAACCUUACCUAGCCUUGACAUUGAUAGAAUACCCUAGAGAUAGAGUAGUGCCCUUCGGGGAACUUGAAAACAGGUGCUGCACGGCUGUCGUCAGCUCGUGUCGUGAGAUGUUGGGUUAAGUCCCGCAACGAGCGCAACCCUCGUCCUUAGUUGCCAGCAGUUCGGCUGGGCACUCUAAGGAGACUGCCUUCGUAAGGAGGAGGAAGGUGAGGACGACGUCAAGUCAUCAUGGCCCUUAUGGCUAGGGCUACACACGUGCUACAAUGGGGCGUACAGAGAGUUGCAAUACCGCGAGGUGGAGCCAAUCUCAUAAAGCGUCUCUCAGUUCGGAUUGGAGUCUGCAACUCGACUUCAUGAAGCUGGAAUCACUAGUAAUCGUAGAUCAGCAAUGCUACGGUGAGUACGUUCCCGGGUCUUGUACUCACCGCCCGUCACACCAUGGGAGUUGAUUUCACCCGAAAUUGGGAAGCUAACCUUCGGGAGGCUACCACUUACGGUGGAAUUAGCGACUGGGGUGAAGUCGAAACAAGGUA
rnacentral:rRNA from 1 species